rnacentral:rRNA from 1 species
UACAGAGGUCUCAAGCGUUGUUCGGAUUCAUUGGGCGUAAAGGGUGCGUAGGCGGCGCGGUAAGUCGGGUGUGAAAUCUCGGGGCUUAACUCCGAAACUGCAUUCGAUACUGCCGUGCUUGAGGACUGGAGAGGAGACUGGAAUUUACGGUGUAGCGGUGAAAUGCGUAGAUAUCGUAAGGAAGACCAGUGGCGAAGGCGGGUCUCUGGACCUGUCCGUGACGCUCAGGCGCGAAAGCUAGGGGAGCGAACAGG